UAUGUUGCCCAGGCUGGUCUCGAACACCUGGCCCAGUUGUUUUCUUUGAUUGUCUGUUCACCUCUCAUGUCCAUUUUUGGGAUAGGGUUGCUGUUUUCUUGCCGCUCUGCAGCCAUUUCUUAUAUUGUCUAACCUGGAUAUCACUCCUUGGGCGGUUUAACGUGGAGAGUAUUACCGUCAUUCUGACAUCUUCAGAGCCCUUUGAAAUAUGACUCCUCUCCUUCCUGCUGGCCUUUCCAGUUCCUUCGUGAGUGGAUGGCACAGGGGAGGCCCUUCUCUGUCUCUGCCCUUUCGGUAAAUGCCAGGUGUCUGGGACAGGGUACAGCUUACAACAGGAACUUGCUUCUAGCAUGGGGCCGGGCAUGGGGGAGGGAUAGGCCAGGGCAGGAUGGCAAUGCCCCAGGGCCCUGUCCCUACUCCUGGGGCCCUUGUCCUGGCAAGUCUCAGCCCAGCAUGGUCAGGAUUCCUUCAUUCCACACACAAAAGCACUGGGCUGGGUCAUGGUGUUGGGUCUGAGGCCUCAAACUUGACUACGACCCUGUCUCUGGCCUUAGAACCUUGAAGCCCACCAUGGGGAAAUAACAAGUCCACAAACCAGGGUGGCGGCCGGGUCAAGGCCCCAAAGAGGCCGCAGGCCCUGAUAGCUGGUCUGAUGCAUGCCAACACACCUGUCCUGGCAGAACACAGCUUGGCUGUCUGGCAGGACAGCUAUCACCGGUCAGGGUGAGCUUUCUAGAGGCGGUAUCUUCAGUCUGGGCUUUAAAGGAAGCAUGAGAGUUCUCCAGGCCUCAGCAAGGUCUUAUUCAAAGCUCUGGGUGGGAACAGGAGUAGAGCCUGGCAUCUCGAUUCCCGGGGAAUGUGGUUUCUUUGGCCCCUGGCUUCUCUUUCUGAGCAGCAGCAGGGAAAAGGAAGUUGGCUUGGGGUUAGCAGGUCUGCCUCUAUCCUCACUCUCUGAGUGACUGUGGGCAAGUCCCUUCUCCUCUGUGGCCCUUGGCCCCCUCAUCUGAAUGAUGCAGUCAUGGGGUGGAGAGAAGCUCCCCAGGACCCUCACAAAUCCCCUGGAAGACCCCAGUAGGGCAGCAGUGGCUGUCUUUCCCUUUUCACCCUGUCAUACCCCUCAAGGACAAGAGUGACGAGGACAGAGGCUGCCCUGGUCCCUGGCCCCAGACCCUCUGCUGCCUCUCACCUAUGUGGACCCCCUUUCUAACAGCCCCCAGGCAAGGCUGUGGCUCGCUUCUCAGGGUUUUCUUUCAGAGCCUCUGUACUUUUCAAAGAAUAGCUACUGUGAAUUGAGCAGGCCCUGUGUGCCAGAUGCAAUGCUUAGCAUUUUACACUGAGGACCUCAUUUUCUUCUCACGAUCUGUGAGCUGGGUACUACUAGUAUCCACAUUUUGCAGAUGACACUGAGGGGCUCAGAGAGGGUAAGCCACCUGCCCAAGGUCACCCAGCUUAUAAGCUGCAGGGCCAGGAUCCAAACCCAGCUCUGCCUGCUCCAGAGCCCAUUUUCUAAUCUCUUCCCAGGUCACAUGGGUCUUCCCUUUCUUAAAUUCCAACCAUUGACCAGUUAGCACUCCUCAGCCAAGCCCUUGCCAUGCAUCUCUUACCCACCCCGCCAUACCUCCACCCUUCCCAGAUUCACCCCCUUUCCUGCUGGAGCCCUGCUGGCCCCGCCUGAGCUUCUGCUUGUUUCUCUGCAUCUCCUUGGAGUAUGCCCACUCUCUCCAGGACUCCAGUGGGGGCUGAGUGCCCACAGGAAGCUGAGGGGCUCCCUGAGGCUUCUCAUUAAACCCUACCUUACAUGGACACUGACUCCACAGAGGGCUUGGGUGGGGUCUCACAUCCCGGGGAGUUACCAUCCUUCCUGAGGUUGAGCAGGGUCAACUAUGUAGCAGGUCACCCUCUGGGGCCCAGCAGGCCUGAGGCGUUGGGCCCUGGCAGCUGGUCUGGCACGUGCCUGGCCUGGGAAGCCUGAAGGGUAUGUGUCUGUCCUGCUGGAAGCCGCUGGAUUAUCAGAAGGGAAUGAAAGGGGUGGGACACAUCUCCUGGGACGUGCGGGGACUCAUGCAUGCAUGUGUGUGCGUGCGUGUGUCUCUGCAUGUGCAGCUGUGCCUGCCAAGGGCAUUGUGAGUCUGGCCCUGAGGAAGGUUCUGUGUGCAACACUUGACUCCUGUGCAUUUAGCAAAAUCAGCACGGUGCUGAGACCAGCAUGCCUCUGAUACAUCUUCACUGUUAUUAUUUUUAUAAUCAAAAGCCAAAAUCACAUUUUCAUCCCGCCCCGCCCCUCACCCCCCAGGUAAAUCCUGUCUUCCACAUGAAACCCAAGCUGGUGGAAGGCUGGGAGUGGGUGUGUAAAAUGAACCCGGGGCUCGGAGCUCAGCUGCCUGGGCCAAGUCCUGGCACUGCCUCUCUUCCAGCUGCAAGACCAUUUCACCUGCUCAGCCUCAGCUUCCCAUCUGCCAGUGAGGGCCAACCUGUCUGGAAUGGUGGCUGAAUCUCUAAUGAACCCCAUGAUGUGCAAACAGUGAUAAGAAUUGGAGAAAAUGAUGCCUGCAAGGUGUUCAGUAGCACUUGGGGGAAGAGCAGCCACUGUCCUUUUUGCCUGGAGCCAGGCCUGGUGCUGCAUGACCUGGGCAGAGGCCGCCUUGAUCAUCUCCACCCAUCAGGUUCUGAACGAAUCAUGUGUCAGGCUAGAUACUUAGACGGACAAGACAAGCCAUCUCCUGUCCACAGCUGCCCCACCUGAAGUCUAGGCCAGUGACCUCUGAAGUUUUUUCAUCAUAUGCCCUUGGCAAUAAAAAAAAUUGUU